AGAUGAGGCAGAGAUGCUAAUGGAACCACAGCAGUAAGCCCUGCAGAUGGAUCACAGGGCUCUAGGUUUGCUGAAGUACGGCCAAGGAACUGGAUUCUCCUUGAGAGGCAGGAAUUCCAAACCACACGAACUUCGUUUAGACACAUCUCAAUGUCACGCUCCUACAUUCUGGGUCCAUUGCCCAAGUUAAUGCAAGAUGAACUAAGAGGAACCAUUCAACACCAACACACCGGAUGUGCAAGAAGCCAGUACACCUUUUGCCGAUGGAGAAACUCCACUACUGACCGUAAGACCCUGAGCCCCCAAGCUGGGAUUCUUCAGCUGGGCUGCAGGCUGCACAGAGAGGGAGUUCUGCAUGGCCCCGGAGGCCUGUUUAAGGCCCAAUGCCUGAAGCUGAGCCUGAGAGGGAGAGGCUGAGGAUGCCCCCUGCUGGCUGCGAAUGGCAAGGUUCUGAACCUGAGAGACAACAUGCAACACAGAUGCACUACAAUCCACGUGUUUUGUGAAGAGUUGGCAUGCGGUACCUGAGCAGAGGAAGACUGUUGACCAGCAGGUAGCGAGGAAGCCUCGGGGUGCACAGUCGUGACGGUGGCGGUGGG